UCCUAAAUGGGCUUCUUCUUGGAAGGGAGAGACCUGUUGAAAUUGACUUUAUAACUACUGCUCCAUUGCCCUGUUUUACUAAAGAUUUCAAAGGAUGCAAUACUGCUCUGGACCCAUUUAUAACAAAGGUCAAUGAAGUAGUGAGUGACCCUGUCUAGGUCUCCAACAUCCAUGGCCCAGGAGAUCCGGAACGAGUCGCACGUGAUGUUGUUGAUCUCAAUGCUGUGAGGGGUGGACAGCAACUCCAUGAUCCGACCGGUUCGGCUCCUGUGGUUGGAGCAGAUAAAGAGAAAGGGACAAGGGAAAAGUCUCCCUGAAAUCCCAGGCGGAAAAGUGCUAGCAAAUGUACUAAUGGUAAUAAAAAUAAUUACUACAUGCUAACAGUCUCCUUGCUGUUUCGUCAUUUUCAAUGGUGAUUCACACUGAGUUGGUGGGAACCUAGAAUGGAGCCUUGACUUCUGCAGAGACUUCUAGGGCUUGGAUGGAGGAGAACCUCAGGCUGAAUUCAUUAU